AGAACGAACGCUGGCGGCAUGCCUAAUACAUGCAAGUCGAACGAACACUUCGGUGUUAGUGGCGCACGGGUGCGUAACGCGUGGGAAUCUGCCCUUGGGUUCGGAAUAACAGUUGGAAACGACUGCUAAUACCGGAUGAUAUCGAAAGAUACAAAGUAUUUAUCGCCCAGGGAUGAGCCCGCGUAGGAUUAGCUAGUUGGUGAGGUAAAGGCUCACGAAGGCGACGACUCCUUAGCUGGUCUAGAGAGGUAUGAUCACGCCAC
rnacentral:rRNA from 1 species